AGAGAGGUGGCCGAGUGGUCGAAGGCGCACGCCUGGAAAGUGUGUAUAUGGGAAACUGUAUCGAGGGUUCGAAUCCCUUCCUCUCUGCAA
rnacentral:tRNA from 1 species